CUAAGCGUACACUGUGGAUGCCCUGGCAGUCAGAGGCGAUGAAGGGCGUGCUAAUCUGCGAUAAGCGCCGGUAAGGUGAUAUGAACCGUUAUAACCGGCGAUACCCGAAUGGGGAAACCCAGUGUGAUUCGUCACACUAUCAUUAACUGAAUCCAUAGGUUAAUGAGGCGAACCGGGGGAACUGAAACAUCUAAGUACCCCGAGGAAAAGAAAUCACCCGAGAUUCCCCCA
rnacentral:rRNA from 1 species